AUUACCAUGAGACCUCGAAGUGCUUUGGGGGAAGUUAGAGGAACUCAAAUUCUACAAAAGGGUUCUUGUAAGAUCUGUAAACAUUUACAUGGUUCCUGGAAGAUCUCUUUUUUAAAAGUCAGCAUCUGGUGGAACCUGGAAGUUCUGUAAGGCCACAAUAAGAUGUACAGAUUUGAACAUGUAUUAUUAUUAUUAUUAUUAUUAUUAUUAUUUACUUAUUAUUAUACUUAAGUUUGAUUAAGUAGCCUAUAGCCUACAUAGGCCUACAUUUAUUCUGUAUAUUUUAUAGAUUAAUUUAAAGCUUAAAUAAUAAUAAUAAUAAUAAUAAUUAUUAUUAUUAUUAUUAUUUGAAGAAGAAACAAGAGGAGGAUAAAAAUGAUUAUGCUGUCACGGAACUGCUGCUAUUUCUCUGCUGCAUCGCUUCAGUGAUCCUCGCGCUGCUCGCGCGCGCAAAAAAGCUCACCUCAUCAUCAUCAUCAUCGGAUUUGAAAGUAACGGCUCCCCUCAUCAAAGCCUGCCGCCGCAUCCGCGGUUUGCUCGGCUAUCCGUUAUAAGAACAACCAUUUCUGAAAUAAUCUCGAUAUGUUAGAGUACCUGAACCACAUGGAUCUUGGCCUAGUAUGCUGAAACAAAAAUCCUCCUGUAGACCUGAAAAUCAUUGAAGUGCCUGGAUCAUCCACCUGAAAAGAGAAAAAAGAAGCCUAGCAGAAAACAAAGCUGCUGUACCUUUUUACUUUUCUGAUUAAUUACCUCAAAUGUACCUUGUGAAGAUUUUAUUAUUGAUUGGAUUUUAUGUUGCCGUGAGUACAAGUGCAGUCACAUUUGUGGCAUUUCUGUGAAAUCACGCAGGCAAAAAGGUCCUUUGAUCAUUAUCAGCAAUAUAGCGACAUAUUAUAUGACGCAGCUCACAUAGGAGUCGCUUUUAAUCAGCUUUCUGUUGGUCAAAUCUGGUGAAUUUGAGUAACCAACUUGGACACUUAGUGAAAUUUUUGACCACACAUGAAAUUAAUGAUUGUGUGGAUUUCUAUUGAAAUUACUGGAAUUCAUUCUCCAAACAGCAGCAAAUUUUACUGCACCUUGAAGGGUUAGUUCACCCAAAAAUAUAAUUUCUGUCAUUAAUGACUCACCCUCAUGUCAUUUCACACCCGUAAAACCUUUGUUCAUCUUCAGAACACAAAUUAAGAUAUUUUUGAUAAAAU